GAUCAUCCUCUUAAGAAAAAUGAAAUACUUGAUAUCUUCUAUAAUGGACUAACCGAUGCUUCUAGGGACUUCCUAGAUAGUUGUGCUGGUUGUGUUUUCAGGGAGCGGACUGUUGGGCAAACUGAAGAAUUAUUGAAUAACAUAUUGAAAAAUUAUGAUGAUUGGACUCUUCCUGAACCACCGGCUAAACCCACUCCGAAGAAGAGGGGUAUAUUAUAUCUCAGUCCUGAAGAUAUGCAAGAGGCAAAUAAAUUUAUGAAGGAAAAUGUAUUAAAGCUGAGGAUGUUAAAAAUUUACCUCCUAUUGAAGAAAUACAUGGGCUUAAUACACCAUCACGGCCUAAGGUGGUAG
rnacentral:rRNA from 1 species